rnacentral:rRNA from 1 species
UACGUAGGGUGCGAGCGUUAAUCGGAAUUACUGGGCGUAAAGCGUGCGCAGGCGGUUCGCAAAGUCUGAUGUGAAAGCCCCGGGCUCAACCUGGGAACUGCAUUGGAAACUAACGGGCUCGAGUGUGGCAGAGGGGGGUGGGAAUUCCACGGUGUAGCAGUGAAAUGCGUAGAUAUGCGGAGGAACACCGAUGGCGAAGGCAAUCCCCUGGACCUGUAUUGACGCUCAUGCACGAAAGCGUGGGGAGCAAACAGG